rnacentral:rRNA from 1 species
AUUAGAUAGUUGGUAGGGUAACGGCCUACCAAGUCAACGAUCAUUAGGGGUUCUGAGAGGAAGGUCCCCCACACUGGUACUGAGACACGGACCAGACUCCUACGGGAGGCAGCAGUGAGGAAUAUUGGUCAAUGGGCGAGAGCCUGAACCAGCCAAGUCGCGUGAAGGAAGAAGGUUCUAUGGAUUGUAAACUUCUUUUGUAAGGGAAUAAAAAGAGUUACGUGUAACUUAUUGUAUGUACUUUACGAAUAAGGAUCGGCUAACUCCGUGCCAGCAGCCGCGGUAAUACGGAGGAUCCAAGCGUUAUCCGGAUUUAUUGGGUUUAAAGGGUGCGUAGGCGGGCCCUUAAGUCAGUGGUGAAAGUUUGCAGCUUAACUGUAAAAUUGCCAUUGAAACUGAGGGUCUUGAGUGUAAAUAAGGUAGGCGGAAUGUGUUGUGUAGCGGUGAAAUGCUUAGAUAUAACACAGAACACCAAUUGCGAAGGCAGCUUACUGGGAUACAACUGACGCUGAGGCACGAAAGCGUGGGGAUCAAACAGGAUUAGAUACCCUGGUAGUCCACGCAGUAAAC